AACGAACGCUGGCGGCAUGCCUAACACAUGCAAGUCGAACGAGACCUUCGGGUCUAGUGGCGCACGGGUGCGUAACGCGUGGGAAUCUGCCCUUGGGUUCGGAAUAACAGUUGGAAACGACUGCUAAUACCGGAUGAUGACGUAAGUCCAAAGAUUUAUCGCCCAAGGAUGAGCCCGCGUAGGAUUAGCUAGUUGGUGAGGUAAAGGCUCACCAAGGCGACGAUCCUUAGCUGGUCUGAGAGGAUGAUCAGCCACACUGGGACUGAGACACGGCCCAGACUCCUACGGGAGGCAGCAGUGGGGAAUAUUGGACAAUGGGCGAAAGCCUGAUCCAGCAAUGCCGCGUGAGUGAUGAAGGCCUUAGGGUUGUAAAGCUCUUUUACCCGGGGUGAUAAUGACAGUACCGGGAGAAUAAGCGCCGGCUAACUCCGUG
rnacentral:rRNA from 1 species